rnacentral:rRNA from 1 species
UACGUAGGUGGCAAGCGUUGUCCGGAAUUAUUGGGCGUAAAGCGCGCGCAGGUGGUUCCUUAAGUCUGAUGUGAAAGCCCACGGCUCAACCGUGGAGGGCCAUUGGAAACUGGGGAACUUGAGUGCAGAAGAGGAAAGUGGAAUUCCAAGUGUAGCGGUGAAAUGCGUAGAGAUUUGGAGGAACACCAGUGGCGAAGGCGACUUUCUGGUCUGUAACUGACACUGAGGCGCGAAAGCGUGGGGAGCAAACAGG